GGGAAACCGGAGCUAAUACCGGAUAAUAUUUUGAACCGCAUGGUUCAAAAGUGAAAGACGGUCUUGCUGUCACUUAUAGAUGGAUCCGCGCUGCAUUAGCUAGUUGGUAAGGUAACGGCUUACCAAGGCAACGAUGCAUAGCCGACCUGAGAGGGUGAUCGGCCACACUGGAACUGAGACACGGUCCAGACUCCUACGGGAGGCAGCAGUAGGGAAUCUUCCGCAAUGGGCGAAAGCCUGACGGAGCAACGCCGCGUGAGUGAUGAAGGUCUUCGGAUCGUAAAACUCUGUUAUUAGGGAAGAACAUAUGUGUAAGUAACUGUGCACAUCUUGACGGUACCUAAUCAGAAAGCCACGGCUAACUACGUGCCAGCAGCCGCGGUAAUACGUAGGUGGCAAGCGUUAUCCGGAAUUAUUGGGCGUAAAGCGCGCGUAGGCGGUUUUUUAAGUCUGAUGUGAAAGCCCACGGCUCAACCGUGGAGGGUCAUUGGAAACUGGAAAACUUGAGUGCAGAAGAGGAAAGUGGAAUUCCAUGUGUAGCGGUGAAAUGCGCAGAGAUAUGGAGGAACACCAGUGGCGAAGGCGACUUUCUGGUCUGUAACUGACGCUGAUGUGCGAAAGCGUGGGGAUCAAACAGGAUUAGAUACCCUGGUAGUCCACGC
rnacentral:rRNA from 1 species